rnacentral:rRNA from 1 species
GCCUACGGGGGGCAGCAGUAGGGAAUUUUCGUCAAUGGGCGCAAGCCUGAACGAGCAAUGCCGCGUGAACGAGGAAGGUCUUCGGAUCGUAAAGUUCUGUUGAAGGGGAAAAAGAGCGAAGAGAGGAAAUGGUCUCCGAUUGAUAUUACCCUUCGAGGAAGUCACGGCUAACUACGUGCCAGCAGCCGCGGUAAUACGUAGGUGGCGAGCGUUAUCCGGAAUGAUUGGGCGUAAAGGGUGCGUAGGCGGCCUGCUAAGUCUGGAGUGAAAGGUACCGGCUCAACCGGUACAGGCUCUGGAAACUG